rnacentral:lncRNA from 1 species
GAUUGAUUGUUUAUUGAACUCUUGAUUCUGCUGCAAAAUUGUGCUCAGAGUGUAACUAUUACUACUGCAUAAUUCUGGAGCAAAAUUUUGUUUGGUGUCUCUCUCUUAAUCUACACAGGCAUUCCAGGUUUUACACAUGUUUGUUGGCGCACCUGCUCUCUCCCCAGUUCGCCACCAGUCAGCUAUAAACCUGAAAAGGAAUUUGGUGCACAAACAGGGAAUUCUUAUGAAGCCAGAGAAGAGAAAAGGAAAGAAAAGAAAGGAGUGUGGAAGAAGAACAAAUUUAUGGAUGCAGCUUUUACAUGAUUGGAUUUGUUGAAAGACAGCGACGCUCGACACGUCAGCAGCGAGCACCAAAAUUUUCCUGAGUAGCAGCAUUGGCGAGUGUACUGCUGUCUCAUUAUGUAUUCCUGGUCUGGAUAACCUUGCAGCCUGAAUCAGUUAUAGAAAUACAUCACAAGGGCAUCGGGUAAACAUCACAUAUUUUGUCCUCUUUUAUAUUAGUAUAUUUACACUGAGAGAUGUUACAUUCUGAACCUUGAUGCAGAAUCCAAAAGGCAGAAUCAUCGCAGAUUAGUCCAUAAAUCUUCUCCACUUAUGCUGUUUAGCUGCUACUUAAACAGCAAAGCAGGAUAUUUGCC